AAUUAAAAAAUGUGGAACUAGAGCUGGAUCUUAACAGCGCGGCGCGGCGAGUGACACUGACAGUGCUUUUGUCAUCGUGGUAUCACCACAUGGUCCGCGGCCGGCGAAUCCACGGGCUCGGGUCUCUCCGGCAGACCUCGGGAGCCUUCGGCGGCAGUUGAGUGUGGGUUCUAGAUUAAUACAAUACAUAGAGACGCAGACGUGCCAAUCACCAUGUUUUUUACUCAGAUCUUGUGAGAAAACAAUUAUUAAUAAGCCGACUGAUAAAUUAAUCAAAUUACGUGGAAAUUUACACCCCAAUUAGCGGAGCUGAAUGCGGUUGAUAAUUCGGAAAAAAUAACAAAAACACGCAAGAUCGCGCAAUUAUACAAGGAAAAACCGCGGUUUACGUCACCGUGUCUUUCCGGUACAUCAAAUCUGUUAUGUCGAGUCGAGUUUGGUGAGAUAUUAUACAUAUUAAAUUAUCGUGUGAGUAUAUAUGUGUAAAUUUAUAUUAUAAUAUAUGCGUGAUAUGAUAUGAUACUGGUUUGAUGUUCGUGGUAUCAUUAAUAUAAUGUGGGCUAAAUGCAGCUAAAUACAGCAGUAUGUAUCUGGAAUCUAGUUUGUGGUGGUCUCAUUGGUACGGUAUUGGUUUGAAUGUCAAAGGAGGAGGUUGUGUGGAUAUAUAUGUAAUACCGAGAAUCGUGUUUGCACGAUCAAGUCGAGCUUAGACAAAGAAGAAAUAAACCAACAUCCAGGUGUAAUUGUUUAUGAGCUUGGCCUUCUACUCUGGAUAAUUUGUAAAACUACGAAUAGAACUUGGAAUACUUUUUCUAUCAAGUUUUCAAGGAUGAGAAAAGAAAUUAUUCAAUAAAUAAAUAACUCGGAAUUUUUUUUAGAUGAUAUUGAGAAAUACUAGGAUGAUCUUUCUCAGUGUUCUGGGCAACAGUCUGAAAUUCCAUAGUUCUGACGCAACUUCGAAGGCAUUUCCGACGCGCAUGCUGCACUCUUCGACAGCCUCUUUUGAGAGAAGGCCAUAUAUAACACCACAAUAUCAGUGUGUAACGUGUAAGUGUGGAUUUUCAUUCAUAAAUUGAGCUAGAGGCUGCUAGCUGCUACCAAGAACAAGUGAACCAAGAUGACUCAUCAGAGCGUGCUAGCGUAUGUGCUACGUAUGCGCGAAUCUGAGAAUAUCAAGGAAGACAUUUAAGAAAUUUUUACAUAACUACAACAGCUGGAUUUUUAUUUACGACUCUGUAUUUUUGUUUUUAAAGAAGAAAUUUUAAUAAAAAUUCUACUUUAAAUUUAUUAAAAAAUGGAGCCUGGAUUUUUUGCACCGCUGCAGCCAAGCCGUGGGUUAAAGACCUGACAAAUGUAAUAUAAUGCCCCGCAACUACUGAUGUUGACCAGACUGUCACUUAGCACAAAACACAUUUGUAUAAACAAAUAAUAAGAGUAUGUGUUUCUUAUCUUCAGGCAACGAUAAUCAGCGGCAAGCUUAAGAAAAUAAUAAUGUACGUUUACAAAAACCUCUCUAUUUACGACCUUAUUUUUGGGCUUGGAGAGAAAUAUUGCCAAACAAUUAUAUGAGUCACAUAAAAAAGAAAGCUACCGCUCAUCGUGCAUUAUAUAUCUUCCGUAUUUACAUUCAAUAGAAUAAGAAUUAACCGAUAGCCAGUAGAAAAUGAGACCUUGAAUAAGACAUUUUCCCUCCCGGCUCUACUUGGUGGCCUCGAGAAAUAAUUUUUGGUGUUUGCCGUACAUUUGUCCAAAGUGCAUUGGUGAUAAAAAUCACCGAGCUUUAAGUAUUUUGUGUAAAUAAAACAAGUAAUAAAUUUUAAAAGCUACUUAGUGUAAAUGGUAAUGAAAUAAUGAAAAAGAAUUCAUUUAUCUAAACUAAAUACGUAAGAAUUGAGAACCGAGUUACAGCGCAUGUCCUCAUUAGUUAAGAGUUACGGCUAGAAAAAAAAAAAAAAAAAAAACACGAGUUUAAUAGACAGUAAACUCCAUUUAUAAUAGCAUCCAAUGUCUUAUUUGACCAUUUUAGAAUUCAUAACUCAACUAAACUAAUCUAAAUGCCUUAUAAUCGUGUAUGCGGUCUAUGAAAUGUCGACAAAGAUAAGUUAUUUGUAUUUAAUGUCUUUAUUGAGCCACGGAAAUAAAUAAUGUGGUGAAAAAGUUAAUAACGCCGAAAGGAACUUCUGGCGAACAGUAGGAGACAAUUGACGACGGGGGUUAUAAGCGGACAAUGUAAAUUUUUUUAACGCUGACAUGAUCAAAGUCCUAUCCUGAAAAGAGUAAACUUUGGAGCAGAGCUGAAAAUAUACGUACUGAAAACUCAGAAGCUUUUAUUUGCUUGACUACGCACUUUGGUUAAUAUAACAUAACUUAAAACUUAAGCGUACACAAGCGUAUACAAUUGUUGUGUUGCGUCUUCAAAAGGAUCGUCUUGGUCUUUUGUUCGUGACAACAAAGAAAACAUUCUAAUGAACGUCCGUUCAUAUACAUUUCACUUGUAUUGUGUUAUUGGAGUUAUUGCUUAUUGUAUAUAGACAGAUAUAUACAUAUAUUUAUUUAUGUGUGUACUUGUAUAUUUAUAUCCCUACUUUCGAGACAAGCUACGUUAAAGCCUAAGGGGUUAAUAAAAUGUUUGUAGGUACUCCCGCAGCCACAAUCAUACGUGAUUCGAUUGAUAAUUGCAUGUGAUUCUGUUUGUAUUCUUCGGGAUUUGUAUAUUUAUAUAUUUAUAUAUUUACGAUAUAACACAAUAGUGCCCAGGUAAAAAAAAACUGCGGUAGACCGUAACGUAGGGACACAUAAAUAUAUAUCUUUAACCCUCGGGAAUACCAAUUGUUUGUGAAAUAUUAAUUAAAAAAAAAAAAAUGAGAAUAACAAAUCUAUAUAAUACAAUAUUAGCAACCUUGCAGUCAUUAUGUGACUG
rnacentral:lncRNA from 1 species